CUCGAAAAAUUAAAUAAAUAAAUAAAUAAAUUAAUUAAUUAAUUUUAUGAAACAGUUAAAUGACUCCUCUGUUCCUUUUAACGGAUUAUGAUAAGUUCAUUCUCAGAAACGGAACAUAUGAUCUUGAUUUCCAUUCAAACUGUGGACUCAGUGAAUUUUCCAUAUGAUCUUUGGCAGAUUACUGACUCUAUUUUCUCUUUUCUUUAUCUACCAUAAUGCCCAGACAUUUUAUCUUCCUUGAAGGGAGUUUAUUAAAACUGCUGAUGAGGCUAAUGAAAAUAUAGACAUCCUUACAGAGAAAUUUCAUUUUUGGUCACCAUUUAAUUUUGCUGCUACACACCCAAUGUGUCCGGGACUGGAUUUUAUAGAAUUUCUAUUUAAUUGCAUUAGUAGAAAAGCUAAAAAGCUGCUUCUCUGUAUGUGUCCAUACUUCUUGUAUAAAUGUCACAUGAGAGAUAAAUUCUGAAAGCCAUUAAACACAUAGUUUCACAUAACUCUUACAGCUUCUCAUCAGUAAGGAAUCUGUCUCAUCACGUGAGUGCCCACGAUUUGCAUGGAAGAGAAUAAGCCUGGGUUUUCAGUUUCCUUGAGAAAAAGAAAGUGCCCCAAGAUGACUGGCAGUUCCUGCCUCAUCAGGGAUGUCUACAUUUGAAAACAAGGCCUCUUUGAAAUCUGAGACUGGAAAAUGAUUCCUGAUGACCUUUCCCAUCUCUCUUUGAUUCUUAGCCAAACACAGAGGAAAAGUCACAAAGCAGCCUACUAUAUAUACCUUCUUUCAAAUGACUCUCUUUGUCUAAGAACCACACUGUAGGGGCAGGCCUGGAAAGGAUGUCAGAUGGCCCAGCGUUGUGUUAUAAUGUACAGGGGGCAGGCCUCUGAUACAAAAAUCAAACCAGUGUUCGUGACCAGGAGGUUCCCCUCUGCACCAUCUCAGAGGAAGCAUCUGUGAUGCUUACAAGUGCCUGGAUAUCAGUGCAAGUGAUUUCAGAAGAUUGCCUACUGUGGAAAAUUGUAGUCAGCUGAGAUGGAGAGAGAAGACCAUUCAGCCCAAGGAGUGCAGGGCAGAGAUAGACGUCAUUACCUGAGUGGUGUGACUGUCCCUGUGUCUCUGAAAUGUCGAAGUCCCCGUGCCACUUACAGACAACC